CGUGUAGCAAUACACGAGUGGCGCACGGGUGAGUAACGCGUGGAUAUCUGCCUUUUGGUUCGGAAUAACUCCGGGAAACUGGAGCUAAUACCGGAUGGUUCCUACGGGAUAAAGAUUUAUCGCCAAAAGAUGAGUCCGCGUACGAUUAGCUAGUUGGUGAGGUAAUGGCUCACCAAGGCGACGAUCGUUAGCUGGUCUGAGAGGACGAUCAGCCACACUGGGACUGAGACACGGCCCAGACUCCUACGGGAGGCAGCAGUGGGGAAUAUUGGACAAUGGGGGCAACCCUGAUCCAGCCAUGCCGCGUGAGUGAUGAAGGCCUUCGGGUUGUAAAGCUCUUUUGGCGGGGACGAUGAUGACGGUACCCGCAGAAUAAGCCCCGGCUAACUUCGUGCCAGCAGCCGCGGUAAGACGAAGGGGGCUAGCGUUGUUCGGAAUUACUGGGCGUAAAGCGAGUGUAGGUGGUUGUCAUAGUCAGGUGUGAAAGCCUUGAGCUCAACUCAAGAAAUGCACUUGAUACUGGGCGACUAGAGGACCGGAGAGGAUAGUGGAAUUCCCAGUGUAGUGGUGAAAUACGUAGAGAUUGGGAAGAACACCAGUGGCGAAGGCGGCUAUCUGGACGGUUUCUGACACUAAGACUCGAAAGCGUG
rnacentral:rRNA from 1 species